AAUAAAGUGGCUGAGUUAAUAGGCGGUAGAUUGUAAAUCUAUAAACGAGUUUAAAACUCCUUUGUUA
rnacentral:tRNA from 2 species